rnacentral:rRNA from 1 species
AUUGAACGCUGGCGGCAUGCCUUACACAUGCAAGUCGAACGGUAACGGGCCUUCGUGUGCCGACGAGUGGCGAACGGGUGAGUAAUACAUCGGAACGUGCCCGAUCGUGGGGGAUAACGAGUCGAAAGCUUUGCUAAUACCUCAUACGAUCUACGGAUGAAAGCAGGGGACCGCAAGGCCUUGCGCGGGCGUAGCGGCCGAUGGCAGAUUAGGUAGUUGGUGGGAUAAAAGCUUACCAAGCCGACGAUCUGUAGCUGGUCUGAGAGGAUGAUCAGCCACACUGGGACUGAGACACGGCCCAGACUCCUACGGGAGGCAGCAGUGGGGAAUUUUGGACAAUGGGCGAAAGCCUGAUCCAGCAAUGCCGCGUGAAGGAUGAAGGCCUUCGGGUUGUAAACUGCUUUUGUACGGAAAGAAAAGCCUUCUUUUAAUACAGGAGGGUCAUGACGGUACCGUAAGAAUAAGCACCGGCUAACUACGUG